GAUGAAGAGUUCGAUCCUGGCUCAGGAUGAACACUGGCGGCGUGCUUAAUACAUGCAAGUCGAACGAAGAGUGUAGCAAUACUCUCUUAGUGGCGAAUGGGUGCGUAACACGUGGGUGACCUACCCCGAAGUGUGGAAUAACAGUUCGAAAGAACUGCUAAUACCGCAUGUGGUCCCGGGUUUUAGAAAACCGGGUCUAAAGCAGAAAUGCGCUUCGGGAGGGGCCUGCGGUCCAUCAGCUAGUUGGUAGGGUAAUGGCCUACCAAGGCAACGACGGAUAGGGGACCUGAGAGGGUGACCCCCCACACUGGCACUGAAACACGGGCCAGACGCCUACGGGUGGCAGCAGUAAGGAAUAUUGCCCAAUGGACGAAAGUCUGAGGCAGCAACGCCGCGUGCGCGAUGAAGGCCUUCGGGUCGUAAAGCGCUUUUAGGGAGGAUGAGGAAGGACAGUACUCCCAGAAUAAGGUACGGCUAACUACGUGCCAGCAGCCGCGGUAAAACGUAGGUACCGAGCGUUAUCCGGAUUCACUGGGCGUAAAGCGCGUGCAGGUGGUUUGGUAAGUCGGGCAUGAAAACUCUUGGCUCAACUGAGAGACGCUGUCCGAUACUGCCAGACUUGAGGGUGUGAGAGGGAGGUGGAAUUCCGCGUGUAGUGGUGAAAUGCGUAGAUAUGCGGAGGAACACCAGUGGCGAAGGCGGCCUCCUGGCACACUCCUGACACUCAGGUAUCGACCCCCUCGGUGCCGCAGCUAACGCGAUAAGUACUCCGCCUGGGGACUACGGCCGCAAGGCUAAAACUCAAAGGAAUUGACGGGGGCCCGCACAAGCAGCGGAGCGUGUGGUUUAAUUCGAGGCUACGCGAAGAACCUUACCCAGGUUUGACAUGCAAGUAGUAGUGAAGCGAAAGCGGAACGACCCUUCGGGGAGCUUGCACAGGUGAUGCAUGGCUGUCGUCAGCUCGUGCCGUGAGGUGUUUGGUUAAGUCCAGUAACGAGCGCAACCCUUAGGGUCAGUUACAAGUGUCUGGCCCGACUGCCGGUCUUAAGCCGGAGGAAGGUGGGGAUGACGUCAAGUCAGCAUGUCCUUUAUAUCUGGGGCUACACACACGCUACAAUGGGUAAUACAAUGGGUCGCCAACCCGCGAGGGGGAGCCAAUCCUAAAAAAUUACCCUCAGUUCAGAUCGCAGGCUGCAACUCGCCUGCGUGAAGUCGGAGUUGCUAGUAAACGCAGGACAGCUAUACUGCGUUGAAUACGUUCCCGGGGCUUGUACACACCGCCCGUCACGUCAUGGGAGCUGAUAACACCUGAAGCCGGUGGCCUAACUGCAAAGAGGGAGCCGUCGAAGGUGGGAUCGGUGACUGGGACGAAGUCGUAACAAGGUAGCUGUAGCGGAAGCUGCGGCUGGAUCACCUCCUGUCUAGGGAGU
rnacentral:rRNA from 1 species